UUUUGUGUUUGGUUUCAACAGUCUACAAGGAUAUCUGGAAUGACAGCGUGUAUCUCAGUUGUAUAAGGUUGAAGAUCUCAGGCUAUUGAGACACUGAAGUUGCAGAUGUUAGUCACAAGCACCUGGCAGGGUCCUGCAGUUGUGCAUGGCGACUCCACUCCCUCCCAGCAGGUUGAGGGAGGCUUCCCUACUUGCAUGGAAGUAAGCCAGCAGCUUCCCACACAGGUGAUGGCUGUUACAAAGGAGACUUUUCAAUACUCAGAUUUCAAGGCUUGUGGAACAGUUCAUAAGAACACCUGACUGAAAGCCUAGCCGCUAGCGGGACCUGCUCUUCCUCAUUCUGCAGAGAAAAAAAUUACCUCAAAGCCCGAAAGGAUUUCAUCUUAGAAUAGGAUAUGCAGAAGUCUCUGCCAUUAACCAAGACAAAGAAAAGCACCCACCAAAACCUUGCUCUUGUAAAGAAAUGGUUUUAACAG